GACAAUUUUCUCUUUUUUUAUAACAUUUAAAUUAGUCAUUGAACCCUUUAAAAUUAAGUUUCUUGGCUACGCAUCUUUAUUCUUCAACUUUAUAUUUGAAUCUACACUAUAAAAGCUUUGGGCAGCAACCGCCUAAUAACAUUAAAUUUUUACCUAAUUAAUAUGUACCUAACUUAUAUAAUAUUAAUAAUCUGCUCCCUGUCUUAAAGGGUGCAAUUAUUAAUUUAAAUGUUGUCAAAAAAGAGAAAAUACCUAUUAUUUUUAGCUUUUCAGUACACGCCAAAUAAAAGUUUUUUUUUUAAUAUUUUUUUAUUUCUUUUAAAGUUAUCAAGAAUUGAACAUAGAAAGCUGUUCGGAUGCUAACAACAGCAAUAUUAGCGAUGCGUAAGUACCUACGAGUAUAUACAAAAUAUUUAUAUUUUUGAUUCGACAGACAAAUCAUUUUAUUUCUAAAGCAAGUGAAAAAUGCUCGAAAAAAUGUGAUGUUUUGGACACAAACAAGAGAAAUGAUCGAGGUUUAUAUGAAGAUAAUUUUACAUAUUCUGUUGAAAAUUAUUUUGAAGAUAAUCAAUCCACAAUCAAUGGUAACGACUUCAACUCAAUUUUGGAAACAGAAAGUUCUCAUAAUAAUGCAUCAGUAUCAGAGCCUAAUAACCUGGAUCGAUUUUCAGCGAGAGAUAAACAUCCAUGUGAACCUACCAAUGUUUUCCAAAAUCAAGAUGAUUCGAAGAUUUAUACCGAACUGCAACCAGUCUGUUACGGUAAAAAUGAAGGAGAUGAGGUAAUGACCAAUGUCGAGACCAAUGUAGAAAAUACAAUACUAACAUCAGACGACAAUAACAUAUCAGCGCAAGAAGGUGAUCCCAAAAAACUGCAGUCAGUGAAUUAUGAUGAAAGUUCUUUAGUUGAAAGUCCUGCUGAUGAUUCGGAUAGAUCCGAACUAUACGCCUGAUGAUGAAACUUUACAAAUAAAAAGAAAGAGAAAAUUCCAUGAUUGUAUACAUGACGUUGGUACGGAAAGUCAUGAAGGUAAUAACGAGAACUCUCCAAUAAUACAAAAAAAAUCUCAAGAGAAGAAAAAAGCAAGAAUAGAAAAGCAGCAAAUAGAACACCAUUUAAAAAAGUAUCAUGUUUUGUACGCAUGUUCUUGUAAAAAAAAAUGUGCAGAUCAGUUUUCAGAUGGAAGGCGAAACGAAAUUUGCCAGGCAUUUCGGAAACUUACUUUUGGAGAGAGGCGUCAAUAUUUUAAUGCACACAUAGAAUUUAAAACAAUUAAGCAGAGAAAAACUGAUAUUACUAAUAAAAGGCAGUGCUCACUUUCUUAUACUAUGGACAAAUCUGAUGGGACGAAAGUUCAAGUAUGCAAACUUAUGUUUUUGCAUAUACAUGGAUUAAACACUGACUGAAACAAUAAUUGAAUUUAAGAGGAAACAAAAUGUAUCAAAAGGGUAUUGUUACUGAUAAACGUGGGAAGUCAACGCCUUCAAAUAAGAGAGAUGGAGAACUAUUUAAGCAACAUAUAGAGUCUUACAAUCCACAAGUUUCCCGUUACAAGCUCUCCCAUGCUCCUAAUAGAAGAUAUCUGCCUUCGGAUUUAAGUGUAACAUCUAUGUGGAAAGACUUUUGUGAACAUCAUGAAAAGGUCUCGUAUGAAAAAUAUCGACAUGAGUUUAAUUUGUUAAACAUCGGGUCUGAGCAACCCAAUCAAGACGAAUGUAGUGAUUGUAUAUUACAGUGCGAACGUAAAGGUUGGAAUAAAUUCAUUUAAA